GAAAACCCGGAGGCUGGAGAGAUCCCACACCCAUCAUUGGAGGAACCUGAGAACAUUUACAGGGAUUUACUUCAGAUUUUAAAUGGCUCUGACCGGCCGUUGUGGGUGAGUUCCUCCUGGAGGCCGAGAGUAUUCCUCAAUCCACUCCACUCUGGAAAAGACCGACGCCACACAGACGCGUUAAAAAGCAGACUGGAGUCUUUACCUGGUGAUAAGGUGUCUGCAUCCAGGACACCUCCUUCUUUGAGCUCCUCCAACUGAGCCUC